AAAUGAAUGUUGAGUUUGUCAGGAGCUUCAUUUUUCCCACCCUUUUCCAUUUCAGCGGAUCUAUUUCCUGCGCACGUCCUCUUCUCUUCUCCAGGCAGGCAGACAACACAUGCAUCGUCUGUUCUCUCCGACAAGCUCCAGUUGAGAUGCUGCGUUCGUGGAUACAGUUACAGUGCAAACGGAGAGUGCUUCAUCCAAGAAACUGAGGGCUUUACCUUCAUGCUGCACCACCUGACGGCUGCACUUGGAUCAUCUGAGAUAACUUGUUUUAAUGUGGAGACAGAGCAGCAGCAAAUUCAUUCAAACCGGGACCAGUGGGAAGCAGUUUAAGGACAUGCAGUACAGAUGGAGUACAUUAGGUUUUUCUCUGUGGCUUCCUUAUCCACAUGGCAGGAGGCCAAGGAGAGCAGCACGAGCCUUGAAAUGCCACCCAGAAGGAUAUACCGUAUACAGCUAUUAACAGCUGAAUGUCGCAGGCUAAUGUCACAUGUCAGCACUGCGCAAUGCCUUGCUUUAUUUCUUACUUCUGAAGCAUUUCCCUGUCAUAGCACAUAAUGCCUUCAGGUAAAAAUGUAUCUCACCAAAACUGCCAUUUUACUAUCCAUUUAUAGGUCCCCUCAAGCCAGUGUCUUUUAGACAAAUUAAAUUGCCUUUUAGCAAGUCACUGAAGCCCAUCCAGCAAUGAUGAAGCUGUUCUUCAAGUGACCCUGUGUUUUAAAGGCAGAAAGUGGGGAUAAAAAGAAUCCCACAAAAAUCCCAAACAUAAAAAUUUGAUUCCUUUAAACUUUGUCCACAAUUACACUAUCAAACCACACAGCUCAAUUAGCCAUACCUUCAACUCCAAGUUGAGUGUACUGGAACUCCUGGUUUGUGGAUAAGGAAAUGCCAGCAACCACAGAGUAUUAACCACUUCAAAACACACUGUCUGUCAGUAUUAUGCUCUUGGGCUGGCUCCUUUCUUCCUCUGGCUGACCAGUCAUACGGCGUUGCCAACGUGGGUGGCAGCCAGUGAGAUUUAUUUUCUGAAAUCGCUCAUACAGUAUAUUUGCCCCUAAACAAACCCAACCCGAAGCCUCUAGGUUCAGCCCUACAAAACAUGCGAUGAAAGAAAGACCCCAAUAAUCUCACCAGCAGAGUGGAAAACAUUUCCUUUUGCCCUCCAAGAGAAUACAAAAUAGUCUCUACUGAGCUGACAACCACCUCAUAUAGAUGUGCAUUUGUGUGAUGGAUCUGAAAUGGCACA